rnacentral:rRNA from 1 species
GACGUAGGGCGCGAGCGUUGUCCGGAUUUAUUGGGCGUAAAGAGCUCGUAGGCGGUUCGGUAAGUCGGGUGUGAAACCUCCAGGCUCAACCUGGAGAGGCCACCUGAUACUGCUGUGACUCGAGUCCGGUAGGGGAGCGUGGAAUUCCUGGUGUAGCGGUGAAAUGCGCAGAUAUCAGGAGGAACACCAGCGGCGAAGGCGGCGCUCUGGGCCGGAACUGACGCUGAGGAGCGAAAGCGUGGGUAGCAAACAGG